UCUCACAGACCACUGUGAGCUGCCCAGGCUCCCAGCCUGGGUUUAGGUACAGAGCAGGGACCAGAGUUAAUUAUCUUCAGCUGGAACGUGACAGGAGCUGUCAUUUCUGUGGAUGGAUUUUGCCAACAAGACUAUGCAUCUCACCUACGACUAACCGGGCUCUAUGGAACCUCCAGGCCAGGAACCCAGGGCACCACCUGGUUAACCUGUACAUUGACACAGGCAGGGGACACAGGGCAGAAGACAAGCAGGAAGAAAUAUGAGCUCAACAAGCAUCCGGUUUCCAGUCGUACAUGCCCCAGGACUGGGGACCUCACUGCUGCCUGCCAGUGCCUCUGAUUAUUGGCCCCUGAAGUUCCGAACAAGGGCACCCGAGUCUCAACCAUUCGCCCACCACCUUUUCAAGGACCACCGGGACACUCUACUUCCAAUCUGCCCUUAAGUCAACCACUUCUUAACACGAAAGCAGGUAUUUUCGAACGAAAUCUUUUUGGCUCUCUGGAAAUGGAAAAUCAGCAUCACUUGUCAUAAAUAGAAACUGUGAAAAUAAAUAGCACCCCCUCA